GACGAACCGUCCUAACGUUAUUCGGAAUCACUGGGCUUAAAGGGCGCGUAGGCGGAUGAGCAAGUCCGGAGGGAAAUCUUUCGGCUUAACCGGAAAAGUGCUUUGGAUACUGCUUGUCUUGAGGGAGGUAGGGGCAUGUGGAACUUCUGGUGGAGCGGUGAAAUGCGUUGAUAUCAGAAGGAACGCCGGUGGCGAAAGCGACGUGCUGGCCCUCUUCUGACGCUGAGGCGCGAAAGCUAGGGGAGCAAACGGG
rnacentral:rRNA from 1 species